UACAGAGGGUGCAAGCGUCAAUCGGAAUUACUGGGCGUAAAGGGCGCGUAGGUGGUUACGUAAGUGAGAUGUGAAAGCCCCGGGCUUAACCUGGGAAUUGCAUUUUAAACUGCGUAGCUUGAGUGCAAUAGAGGGUAGUGGAAUUUCCGGUGUAGCGGUGAAAUGCGUAGAUAUCGGAAGGAACACCAGUGGCGAAGGCGGCUACCUGGAUUGACACUGACACUGAGGCGCGAGAGCGUGGGGAGCAAACAGG
rnacentral:rRNA from 1 species